rnacentral:rRNA from 1 species
GACGAACGCUGGCGGCGCGCUUAACACAUGCAAGUCGAACGGAAAGGCCUGCUUUCCCUUGUGGAUUGCGGGUACUCGAGUGGCGAACGGGUGAGUAACACGUGAGUGAUCUGCCCCCAACUUGGGUAUAAGCCUGGGAAACUGGGUCUAAUUCCCGAUAGGACUGCAGGGUGGUGCCUGUGGUGGAAAACGAUUUUCUAGUGGUUGGGGAUGAGCUCGCGGCCUAUCAGCUUGUUGGUGGGGUAAUGGCCUACCAAGGCGUCGACGGGUAGCCGGCCUGAGAGGGUGGACGGCCACAUUGGGACUGAGAUACGGCCCAGACUCCUACGGGAGGCAGCAGUGGGGAAUAUUGCACAAUGGGCGGAAGCCUGAUGCAGCGACGCCGCGUGGGGGAUGACGGCCUUCGGGUUGUAAACUCCUUUCGACCGCGAGGAAGCCACCUGGUUGGAAGGGUGGUGACGGUAGUGGUAGAAGAAGCACCGGCUAACUACGUG